UACGAAGGGGGCUAGCGUUGUUCGGAUUUACUGGGCGUAAAGCGCACGUAGGCGGAUUGGUCAGUUAGGGGUGAAAUCCCGGAGCUCAACUCCGGAACUGCCUUUAAUACUGCCAGUCUCGAGUCCGGAAGAGGUAAGUGGAACUCCUAGUGUAGAGGUGGAAUUCGUAGAUAUUCGCAAGAACACCAGUGGCGAAGGCGGCUCACUGGCCCGGUACUGACGCUGAGAUACGAAAGCGUGGGGAGCAAACAGGG
rnacentral:rRNA from 1 species